AACAUAGGGUAAUUAAAGUUGUUGCGGUAAAAGCUAGUAGUUGGAUUUCUGCUGAGGACGAUCGGUCCGCCCUCUGGGUGAGUAUCUGGCUUGGCCUUGGCAUCCUCUUGGAGAACGUACCUGCACUUGACUGUGUGGUGCGGUAUCCAGGACUUUUACUUUGAGGAAAUUAGAGUGUUUCAAGCAGGCGCACGCCUUGAAUACAUUAGCAUGGAAUAAUAAGAUAGGACCUUGGUUCUAUUUUGUUGGUUUCUAGAGCUGAGGUAGUGAUUAGUAGGGAUAGUUGGGGGCAUUCGUAUUUAACUGUCACAGGUGAAAUUCUUGGAUUUGUUAAAGACGGACUACUGCUAAAGCAUUUGCCAAGGAUGUUUUCAUUGAUCAAGAACGAAAGUUAGGGGAUCGAACACCAUCACAUACCGUCCUAGUCUUAACCAUAAACCAUGCCGACUAGAGAUUGGAGGUCGUUAUCUUUACGACUCCUUCAGCACCUUAUGAGAAAUCAAAGUCUUUGGGUUCCGGGGGGAGUAUGGUCGCACGGCUGAAACUUAAAGGAAUUGACGGAAGGGCACCACCAUGAGUGGAGCCUGCGGAUUAAUUUGACUCAGCACGGGGAAACUCACCGGGUCCCGACAUAUUACGGAUUGACUGAGUGAUAGCACUUUCCUGACUCCAUGGGUGGUGGUGCAUGGCCCCCCUAAGUGGGGGAAGGGAUUUGUCUGGGUA
rnacentral:rRNA from 1 species